GACGAACGCUGGCGGCGUGCUUAACACAUGCAAGUCGAGCGAUGAAGUUCCUUCGGGAGUGGAUUAGCGGCGGACGGGUGAGUAACACGUGGGUAACCUGCCUCGUAGAGGGGAAUAGCCUUCCGAAAGGAAGAUUAAUACCGCAUAAGAUUGUAGCUUCGCAUGAAGCAGCAAUUAAAGGAGCAAUCCGCUAUGAGAUGGACCCGCGUCGCAUUAGCUAGUUGGUGAGGUAACGGCUCACCAAGGCGACGAUGCGUAGCCGACCUGAGAGGGUGAUCGGCCACAUUGGGACUGGGACACGGCCCAGACUCCUACGGGAGGCAGCAGUGGGGAAUAUUGCACAAUGGGGGAAACCCUGAUGUAGCAGCGCCGCGUGAGUGAUGACGGUCUUCGGAUUGUAAAACUCUGUCUUUAGGGACGAUAAUGACGGUACCUGAGGAGGAAGCCACGGCUAACUACGUGCCAGCAGCCGCCGUAA
rnacentral:rRNA from 1 species